rnacentral:RNase_P_RNA from 1 species
GAGGAAAGUCCGCACUCCCCAGAGCGUGGUGCCGGCUAACGGCCGGGCGGGGCAACUCGACGGCAAGUGCAACAGAGAAGUGCAUUGCCGGAAGGGGCGACUCUUUCGGCGAGGGUGAAACGGUGGUGUAAGAGACCACCGGCGGCGGCAGCAAUGUCGCCGGCCAGGCAAACCCCACCAGGAGCAAGGCCAAGCAGGGCGAAAGGCGCGGCCGUUGGGUCCGCCUACGGAGUGGCUCGUGCCGUCUGACGUCCGGGUAGGCUGCGUGAGGUUGCCGGUAACGGCAAUCCCAGAUAGAUGAUCGCCGGCGCUGUGCGGUUCGCCGCGCGGCGUCACAGAAUGCGGCUUA